GGUUUAUCUGAUGCCUCUCCAUCUACUCUCAUCCACGGAUGCUCAAGAACUUGGCCUGACGUUAGUCGUUUUUUCGGAUCUUGAGUCAACAUCUUUCUGACGAUAUCUUUAGCGCUGUGAGAUAUAGAUGGCCAUGGAGCACUUUCAAAGUCAAUCUUACCUUUCAAGAUCUCAUCAAAUAUUCCUUUCUCACUUUCAGCCCAGAAUGGUGGCACACCGCUGAGAAGAAUAUACAAAAUAACACCCGCGCUCCAAACAUCGAUCUCCUUUCCGUAACUACGCCGUAGAACUUCAGGAGCAACAUAGUAAGCACUUCCCACUAUGUCUCUGUACACUUUACCUUCCUCAAUGAAGACCGAGAGCCCGAAAUCCGUCGCCUUGAGCAUUGCUUCUUCAUCCUUGGUCGCAAGCAAGAAGUUCUCAGGCUUGAGGUCCCGAUGCAUCACCCCCAUGAAAUGGCAGAUGUGCACCACAUUCACAAUCGCCCGACACAUAGUCGCCGCAGCACGCUCCGAGUAAUGCCCCUUAGCAAUAAUCCUGUCAAACAGCUCCCCACCAGCACAGAGCUCCAUAACAACGUGCACUGAGUUCUUAUCCUCGAAGGCCCCCUUGAAUUCCACGAUAUUUGGCUGACCACUCAGAUGUUGCAUGAUCUGGAUCUCCCUCUUGAUAUCCUCCCUAUCAUUCUUGUUGACAAGCUUCCGCUUUGAUAUGGACUUACAUGCAUAUUUCAGCCCGGUGGCAUUCUCGGUGCAGAGGUAGGUGAUACCAAACUGCCCUCGGCAAGGAACUCGGCAGGGGG
rnacentral:misc_RNA from 1 species